CUUCACCGAACCCAGCCACAGCGGUUGCCCGUCGGGCCGCUCCGCGCCGUAGGUGGCCAGCAGCGCCUGGGCCUC
rnacentral:antisense_RNA from 1 species